AUUAUGAUAUGAAAUCAUCGCAUCAUGAUUUGAUUAAAACUUCUGUAAAUGUCUUUGUCGGACAUCCAUGUCUGGAGGAUAUUAUCUGAUGCUGGGAGUGGGCCCCAUGUUAGAUCUUGACCAAUCCUCACCCAAUUUGGUAGUUGGUGGCUAUUUGACAAAUUCUGUGGUUUCCCAAUUAGAUGCUGAAACCUAAUCUAGUCACCAUAGAAAUCAGAAAGCUUGGACAGGUUCCUGGGCCCUUUCUAUCUGCAAGGCUGCUCACUUUUCAUUAUCUUCUAUCAUAUCUAGCUUGGCUUUGGCCUGUUGUUACUUGGGCCUCUCUGGCCUAUCUUAUGUUUUUUUAACUCACUUGAUAGGUAGUAAAGCGUCUAUCUUACUUUCUUUUGUUUUUUGAAAUACCAAAACUAAAGCAUAUUUUGAUUGGAUUCAAACUUGCAUUACACAACUGGUUCCGUUACAUACAUUAUACAUGACAUUACAUCAGCUUUAAAACUACCUAAAUAGUCAAUUCAACAUUUUACGCUGAAACCAUGAAUAAUCAUUGAUUGAUUUUAUUUUAUUUUAUAUAGGCCUCAACAAUUUUGUAAUAUCCGAAUGAAUGGUUCCAUACAAAAAACUAUGGAUGUAUAAGCUUUUGUAUAAAAAAAAUCAUAAUAACAAUAAUAAAUAAAUAAUUCAAAUGCCCUAUUAGGUUACUCUGGACUGACAACCAAUAUUCUUAUUUUGACUUUAUUCCACUGACUAACACAAACUUGUUAAAUAUUGUUGUAUUUUCUUAAUUUUUCUUUUUCUUUUUUCCUGAGCCACACUGUCUAUGAUCUAUAGCAGUGAUGUUAGUUUCUUUAGUUCAUUUAGCUGAAAUGUCCAUUUUAGUUGUUUGCAGGGGAUAGGUAGGAUUUUGAAAGGCAUCUUGUUGGCAAGUAUUAUGUUCCCUAACAUUGAAAAUUCUACCAUUUUCAGCCCUCUUCAGAUAGUUAAGUAGAGCAUAACUUUCCUAUUAUUAGUUUGCCACCUAAUUUACAAGAAAGAACUUGUUGAAGAGUGAACUAAGAAGCCACUUGGAUGUAAAAGUUAGUGGCCUUCUUAGCUCAUUUCAGAAAUUUCAAGUGGGUUUUUAUUUAAUAAGUGCAUGAUGAACCAUUGGUGGCUAUUUGAGCUUGAGCAAAAAAACUGCUCUUUUGGUUUUAUCUAGUUCAUUGUAGUGGUUGAAUAAGUUAUACCCUCUUGAAUGAUUCCCUUCCAUGAUUGUGCUAUGAUUGCAUCUCUAUUUCUGUUAAGAUAUUUUGUUCACCUUUAUAAGGGUUGUUUCUUUAAACUAUUGAUCGAUAUUUUCUCACAUUUUUUUUUGAAAGGUGAUCGAUAUUUUUUUCUUAUUCUUUCCCCAUGCUCUUUAACCCUUUGAAAUUGUCUGAAAUGGUUUGCCAAGCUGCACGAUGUCAUAUGUGCAGGGACUGUUUUCCCAGAGCAAGUGGUCCUAAAGGUAUGAUCUUCAGCCUAUGUUCUAUUGAAUUUGGAUUGUUGUUGUCUCUCUUUUCUUAUGGGUCUUUUUAUCAAAGGAUUAGAUCUUGAGUCUGGGACAUGGUGGGUUCAUUAGGUCAAUGCUAGAUCACAAAUCACAGGAACACUUAGGCAUGGUUUCAAGCAUGGCUCUUUUAUUGGGCCUUUUUUUAUUAGUCAAUGCUAGACUGCUUACUUUUAUUUUGAUGAUAACAUAGUGAAUCACUUGAUGAUGAAACAACAGGUUACGUACAAGCUGUAAUCAGGUUUGAUGGGGUUCUAGAUAUGAUUUAGACUGCUUGCUUUUAUUCUGACAACAACAUAGUGAAUCACAUGAUGCUGAAACAACAAGUUAUGUACAGGCUGUAAUCAGGUUUGAUGGGGUUCCAUAGGAUCCAAUUGUAAUAUUUCUAUAGUGUGAUAAUUUUAUUCGAAUUUGAAAUAGUGGUCUUUAAAUUGUUGAUACCUUGUACUAUUCUUUAAAUUGCAAAACAGUGAAAUGAUGAUUUCUAUUGACAUGAUGGCUGACCCAUCGGAAGUUCCGGUCAUUUGCUAACAAACAUGCCAACCUUGUUUAUAUAGCUACAGAUUUACUCUCAUAUGGCCAACUCCAACAAUGCUCUCAUGCGUUCAGAUUUGAAGAGAUUUAUUGAAGUUGCUCAAGAUGAUGAGGUACUCAUGGUGAUGUGGUGUUGCCAAUCCAAUAAAGUCACAUUCAUCUUGACUCCAGAGAUCAUUCAUCAGAAGGAUACUUUGACAGAAGAUGAGGCAUGAUUUUAUGUUGGGCAAACAGUUAUGGCCUUUGAAUCUAUCCACAAACUCCACAGGAAACAACUAUAGUGGGGCUUUAUAAAGUGAUGGAUGCCCGUCUGCACCAAAGUAAACCCAAUAUCUUUCUAUUAUCUUAAAG